UAGCGUAUAUUUAAGUUGUUGCAGUUAAAAAGCUCGUAGUUGGAUUUUGGUUAAGAGGGCGCGGUCGGCCGUUUGGUCUGUACUGCGUUGUCUUGACUUCCUGAUGAGGACAUGCUCUUGGUUAACGCUGAGACAUGGAGUCAUCGUGGUUACUUUGAAAAAAUUAGAGUGUUCAAAGCGGGCUUACGCUUGAAUAUAUUAGCAUGGAACAACACUAUAGGACUCCUGUCCUAUCUCGUUGGUCUCGGGAUGGGAGUAAUGAUUAAGAGGAACAGUUGGGGGCAUUCGUAUUUCGUUGUCAGAGGUGAAAUUCUUGGAUUUAUGAAAGACGAACUUCUGCGAAAGCAUUUGCCAAGGAUGUUUUCAUUAAUCAAGAACGAAAGUUGGGGGCUCGAAGAUGAUUAGAUACCAUCCUAGUCUCAACCAUAAACGAUGCCGACUAGGGAUUGCUGGAUGUUAAUUGAUGACUUCACCAGCACCUUAUGAGAAAUCAAAGUUUUUGGGUUCCCGGGGGGAGUAUGGUCGCAAGGCUGAAACUUAAAGGAGUUGA
rnacentral:rRNA from 1 species